UGCUUCUUGCGCAGAAUGAUCCCGUCGGCCAUGUUGAGUCGAAGUAUACGCGCUGCUCUGUUGACAUCCUGAGCGAGGAAGUCUAACAGCUGGUUUUUAGUCAUUGCUACUUCAGUUCUCAUAUUACAAGGUGUUUGUAUCGAAUCUGCUUCCAAGCUGGAUAGGCUACCAGAAUAUCUUCGGGACACCGUCGACUGGUUUAUGGGGUACGUUCAGGUUCUUGUCCUUGUUCCAGAGCUCUAUUAUAGUCUGUACGGCAACAUGCUAGAUUUUAAAUCUGUCACAAGAAUCGAAUCGGGAAAGAAACUAGGAUGAAUACAAUUUAAAAUAGUGCUGAAAAUUGUAGGACAGAAAUAUCUUGGAAUAAAUAAACACAUAAUAAAAAAAAA